rnacentral:rRNA from 1 species
GUCUAUGGCCGUGCCACCCUGAACAUGCCUGACCGCAUCUGAUCUCGAAAGCUGAGCAGAGUUGGGCCUGCUUAGUAUUUGGAUAGGAGACCACCUAGGAAUACCAGGUGCUUAUAGGCA